CUUCUGUGCUUUCUGCUUACAAAAGGCAAAACUGUCAGCUCCUGGUUAACCUGCUAAGACUUCCAGCAAUGGCCUGAAAAUACAAGACAAAACAAGCCCCUUUACUCCCUGAGCAGCCCCACCACCUUGGGGACAGGAGCCCACAGGGGACACUUUUUAUUCCAGCCAUCACAAAUCAGGGCUGGAGAGAUGGCCUUUCCCAGCAUACACAUGACACUCACAGUUCUGCAACUCCAGUUUCAGGGGAUCUGAUGCUCUCCUUUCACCUCUGUGAGCACCCUGCAUGCAUGUGUUACAUAUGCAUGUAGGUGAUAUAAUUACAUAAAAUGGAAUAAAUAAUUUUUUAAAUCCCCA